UGCGUGUUUCUUCCCUCCCUCCAUCCGUCAUCUAUUUAAUGUGUGGUGCGCGUGGUUAAUCGCCAGUCACCAGCCGGAGUUCGGAAAGCUGUAGACGUUAAUAUUGGAGUUGUGAGACUUGUCUGGAAUCAGCAUGGUAUGGAGUGUUCCAUUUGGCUUAAUUUCAUGUAGUGACGAACAAUGUUCGUCCGUUGUUGACGCAUGUUUCUGUACGCAAGAUUGUGUGGCGAAGUCAGUCAAGUAUUAGACUUGCAUGACUCACGUGAGUUGGUAGAUUGAUACAUAUUUAUCAGAUGCUAGAGAUUAAUUUGGCCAAUUUUAGCUGAAAUAAGAGUUACUUCUCUUGAAUGUUACAUGUACAAAUUGCUUUGAAUUGCAUGAUGGUAUCAGUUUUCUGUGCUCAGUCCAGUGUUUUUCAAUUUUAUCAAAAGCGUUUGGUGAUUAAGAGUGUAAGCAGAUUUUUUCUCAUAAUGGACAUCGGUUUUAUUCCUGUUACUAUAUUCUCAUCUGUCUAGUAUUGACGGUGCUUACGGGUGUUUCCGUCCUGUAGAUUCUUUAUUGGUAGUCUGUCAACUCGUUUCAAUAUGAGUUCUAGUGUGGUGUUGGUGUUUCUUCAAUUGCCGAGUUCUUUCUCAGAUGUUGGAGUUCGCCAUGCUUAUUGGCCGUAAGGUGCAGGGUCUGGCCUAUGGGUUGAACUUUGAUUGGUGCUGAUGUGUGCCAUUCAUUUGAGAUGGUUUAGUUGGAGACAUCAAUGGCUGUACUAUAGUUUGCUAGUUGGCGGUGGAGUUUUUGCCGGCGCUUGUUCUUGGGUUCACUUGGCUGUGUUAAGUCAAUGGUCGUUGGGGAUUCCCAAUGAGUUGGUCUUCGCCGGGUAUUGCUGUUGGUAUGUUAUGAAUUCUUAGGAUUACUUUACCCCUCGGGAGUGUUCUUGGGCUGGUGAAUUUAUUGCUGUUAGCCGGGUGGAUUUGGACAGUUGGAGUUUACCAUUCACCUGAGGUGAUUACCGCAUUUUAAUGGGAAAUUCAACUUCAGGCGUGGAGAUGAGGGUCUACAUAUCAAUUUAUUGUUCCGGAGGUAUUAGGUAUGGGGAAAGUGAUGGUUGUUUAAUCAGUGUUGAUGACUUAAUUCGUUUUUAAAACUAGUUUUCAUGGCGAGUAAAAUGUGAGUAUCAAUGGUAAUAUCAAGAGGAUAGGGGUUAUUCUUUUGUAGUUAUCAUGUAAUUUUGCAGAUUAAAGGCAUAUUGUAUGGAAUUAAUUUAAUGGUAGUCUAACUUCUAAAUCUUGCAUCCUGAUAAAUAUAAUUAUAAUUUUUUCAAGUCCUGUCUUAGUAUAGUAAACGAACUUUCAAUGCCAGCAUGUGCAUGUAGUUGCUGUCAUUUAAAAGUAAUUUUGUUUGAAGGAUAGGAGUUAUUUUUUUCGUUUCAGGUAUGAAGUGUUUCGGUUGGAUUUUGCAACAGCUAAGUCGAAUUCAUCGAAUCGUAGGGAUUGGUGCAAACAGUUCACGGUUGUUUCGUUUGUCGAAAACGUGGGAGUCUUCUACAUGGUAGGUAAGUUGUACUUCGAAGUGGGGACUUUGGAGGUUUAAUGACUGAAUACCGUCGAUCCGUUGGUUUUCCUUUUGACUGGGUUUAAUAAGGUACUUUAUCAGCUAUGUAGAUUUUAUUUAUUCUAUUUCUGAUUUAUUCUCUCUUCUGAGACCUGUUCUUAACCUUUAUCAACCUGUUUGAUUUUUGCCGUUGGAACUGUCGGUGGUUCUAUGUUAAUCGCCACAUUUGCUUUUUGCCCUAGUUGUUUAUUUCGUCAGGGCCAUUCCAACUCUGCUCGUUAAUGGGCUAUUUUCUGACUUUGGAACGUCAAUGCAGUAGUGUAUGUACCCGUGGGGGCUUCUCGCCAGCUUUGCAUAUUAACCCUAUCGUCCAUUCAGUUUUCCAUUGUCGAUGUGUUAUGCCAACCAUGGCGGUUAUGUCAUGCUUGUACUUGUUAUGGUAUGUAACAUGUUUGGAGUGGUGCAUAGCAUCAGUUUUCGUUUAGUUAGUUGGGUAUUUUUCCGUGGGACUAAUUGACAUGGAAUAAAAAUUGUAAGUAUCAAUAUUGAUAUACAGAAGGUGAAUUAUAAGAUAUUAUUUUCAUAGGAUAGAUAAAUAUUUGAACAUAUUAAAAUAAUAUAUUAAUGCACAAUAUUAUUUAAUUGCACGAUUUUUUAUCCUGUAAAGUAAGCAACUGUAUCACUAGUGGCUUCAUGUAUAACUAUUAUUAAAUAUUAUCUUUGUUAAAAUGAUAAGUAACAUUGGUUUUCUUGUUCUGAUAAAUUGCUUUAUUGAACGUUUUAGAUGUUUUUAGUUAUUAGGUCUGUUUCCGGAAGUGGGUUUUAUAAUACAGGGUUGCCACCAUU